AACGAACGCUGGCGGCGUGCUUAACACAUGCAAGUCGAGUGCGCGCCUGUAGCAAUACAGGUGGCGCACGGCGCACGGGUGCGUAACACGUGGGUAAUCUGCCCUCUGAUGGGGAAUAACCCGCCGAAAGGCGGGCUAAUACCGCAUAACAUUCCUUGGAUUUCGGUCCGGGGACUCAAAGGCGUAAGUCGUCGGAGGAGGAGCCCGCGCACGAUUAGCUAGUUGGUAGGGUAAUGGCCUACCAAGGCUUUGAUCGUUAGCUGGUCUGAG
rnacentral:rRNA from 1 species